ACAAAACCAUUACUCCACAAUGUAAGUUGUGUUACUUAAAAGCACGCAAAUUAAAUAUUUUAUUGAGACAAUUAGUUGUAUAUAUUCAAAUGAGACUCAUAUUAAUGAACUACACAUCGAUUAACAUUAGGGGUCUCGCUCAUACCAUUUCGCACACGAGAAGACGAUUAUACACCAGCGUGAUGAUGAAAGCUCCAGUUCUGUACACUGUCGCAGCGAAAAGUAGGUAAGCGUGUCAGACGAUGAAGAGAGAAGCGUUUGAAGUUAUAGGGUACCAGCUGGAUGGCUUCCGCUCCACUUAUUUCAUAUCAUCUCCACUCAUUUUUUAUUCUAAUUUUCAUCUCAUUCCUUAUUUUUCUUCAUCUCUUUCUUUUUUCUUACCUUCAUUUUUUUUUAUUUCUUUUUCCUAUUCACUUUCUCACUCUCUCAAAUAUUUUCAUUGAUUCUUCAUUUUUUCAUAAUACAUAAAAUUUUAGAUGUUAAUUUUCUUAAAAUC
rnacentral:lncRNA from 1 species